rnacentral:rRNA from 1 species
GCUUUUGGCCCUAUCAUAUUGAAUGCACCAGUUCCUGUCUGAUCCCUGAAGCUAAGCAGUUUUGAGCCUAGUUAGUACUUAAAUAAAUGAAUAAGCCUCUUUCUAUUAGGGAGCAAAUAUUU